UACGUAGGAGGCGAGCGUUGUCCGGAAUUACUGGGCGUAAAGGGCGUGUAGGCGGUUCGUUAAGUCUGGCGUGAAAGCUCUCGGCUAAACCGGGAGAGGUCGUUGGAUACUGGCAAACUAGAGGACGGUAGAGGCGUGUGGAAUUCCGGGUGUAGUGGUGAAAUGCGUAGAGAUCCGGAGGAACACCAGUGGCGAAGGCGACACGCUGGGCCGUACCUGACGCUAAAGCGCGACAGCAUGGGGAGCAAACGGG
rnacentral:rRNA from 1 species